rnacentral:tRNA from 1 species
CAGGAUAUAGCUUAAUAAAAGCAUUUCGCUUACACCGAAAAAAUAUUUGUGAAACUCCAAUUAUCCAGA